rnacentral:rRNA from 1 species
CGUGGGUAACCUGCCCAAGAGAUCGGGAUAACACCUGGAAACAGAUGCUAAUACCGGAUAACAACAGAUGAUGCCUAUCAACUGUUUAAAAGAUGGUUCUGCUAUCACUCUUGGAUGGACCUGCGGUGCAUUAGCUAGUUGGUAGGGUAACGGCCUACCAAGGCGAUGAUGCAUANCCGAGUUGAGAGACUGAUCGGCCACAUUGGGACUGAGACACGGCCCAAACUCCUACGGGAGGCAGCAGUU